rnacentral:tRNA from 1 species
GCUGUGAUGGCCGAGAGGUUAAGCAGUCUGGACUUGAAAUCCAAAUGGGGCUUCCCCGCACAAGAGGUUGAAACCCCUGCUCACAGCG